AUACUUACUUUGCGUCGAGAUCACCCAUGAUCAAGAAGGUGGGGGUCUCUAGGUAGAGACUUAACCAUUGCAUUUGGGUUGAGUUGACACCUGCCACUAUUCCAAAGUGGAAUAGAUGGGGCGUGAAAUUUUUGUGUGCGGGGACUGCGUACGCGCUGUCCCUU